rnacentral:rRNA from 1 species
UACGUAGGGUGCGAGCGUUAAUCGGAAUUACUGGGCGUAAAGCGUGCGCAGGCGGUUUUGUAAGCCAGAUGUGAAAGCCCCGGGCUUAACCUGGGAAUGGCAUUUGGGACUGCAAGGCUUGAGUGCGGCAGAGGAGACUGGAAUUCCUGGUGUAGCAGUGAAAUGCGUAGGAUAAUCAGGAGGAAUACCGAUGGCGAAGGCAGGUCUCUGGGCUGUACUGACGCUGAGGAGCGAAAGCUGGGGAGCGAACAGG